CACGUAGGGGGCAAGCGUUGUCCGGAUUUAUUGGGCGUAAAGAGCUCGUAGGUGGCUCGGUAAGUCGGGUGUGAAAUUUCGAGGCUCAACCUCGAGACGCCACCUGAUACUGCUGUGGCUAGAGUCCGGUAGGGGAGCGUGGAAUUCCUGGUGUAGCGGUGAAAUGCGCAGAUAUCAGGAGGAACACCAGUGGCGAAGGCGGCCACCUGGACCGUCCCUGACGCUCAAACACGAAAGCUAGGGUAGCGAACGGG
rnacentral:rRNA from 1 species